UAGGGAAUCUUCGGCAAUGGGGGGAACCCUGACCGAGCAACGCCGCGUGAGUGAAGAAGGUUUUCGGAUCGUAAAGCUCUGUUGCUAAGGAAGAACGAGUGUGAGAAUGGAAAGUUCAUGCUGUGACGGUACUUAACCAGAAAGGGACGGCUAACUACGUGCCAGCAGCCGCGGUAAUACGUAGGUCCCGAGCGUUGUCCGGAUUUAUUGGGCGUAAAGCGAGCGCAGGCGGUCAAUUAAGUCUGAUGUGAAAGCCCCCGGCUCAACCGGGGAGGGUCAUUGGAAACUGGUUGGCUUGAGUGCAGAAGAGGAGAGUGGAAUUCCAUGUGUAGCGGUGAAAUGCGUAGAUAUAUGGAGGAACACCAGUGGCGAAGGCGACUCUCUGGUCUGUAACUGACGCUGAGGUUCGAAAGCGUGGGUAGCAAACAGG
rnacentral:rRNA from 1 species